rnacentral:rRNA from 1 species
CCUACGGGGUGCAGCAGUGGGGAAUAUUGGACAAUGGGCGAAAGCCUGAUCCAGCAAUGCCGCGUGAGUGAUGAAGGCCUUAGGGUUGUAAAGCUCUUUUACCCGGGAUGAUAAUGACAGUACCGGGAGAAUAAGCCCCGGCUAACUCCGUGCCAGCAGCCGCGGUAAUACGGAGGGGGCUAGCGUUGUUCGGAAUUACUGGGCGUAAAGCGCACGUAGGCGGCUUUGUAAGUUAGAGGUGAAAGCCCAGAGCUCAACUCUGGAACUGCCUUUAAGACUGCACCGCUUGAAUCAUGGAGAGGUCAGUGGAAUUCCGAGUGUAGAGGUGAAAUUCGUAGAUAUUCGGAAGAACACCAGUGGCGAAGGCGACUGACUGGACACGUAUUGACGCUGAGGUGCGAAAGCGUGGGGAGCAAACAGGAUUAGAUACCCGGGUAGUC